rnacentral:sRNA from 18 species
AUCCGGGUACUGGCCGGUGAAGAUCGUCGGCCGGCUCGGCACGCA